rnacentral:rRNA from 1 species
UGGGGAAUAUUGCACAAUGGAGGGAACCCUGAUCCAGCGACGCCGCGUGAGUGAUGAAGGACUUCGGUUUGUAAAACUCUGUUCCAUGGGAAGAAAAGGACUGUAGCAUAGGAGAAAGCUCCGGCUAAAUACGUGCCAGCAGCCGCGGUAAUACGGAUGGAGCGAGCGUUGUUCGGAAUUACUGGGCGUAAAGGGUGCGUAGGCGGCUUUACAAGUUGGAUGUGAAAGAUUGGGGCUCAACCACGAACGUGCGUCCAAAACUGCAAGGCUUGAGUGAAGGAGAGGUAAGUGGAAUUCCUGGUGUAGCGGUGAAAUGCGUAGAUAUCAGGAGGAAUACCGGUGGCGAAGGCGGCUUACUGGACUUAAACUGACGCUGAGGCACGAAAGCGUGGGGAGCAAACAGG